rnacentral:rRNA from 1 species
GAUGAACGCUGGCGGCGUGCCUAAUACAUGCAAGUCGAACGAGUUCUCGUUGAUGAUCGGUGCUUGCACCGAGAUUCAACAUGGAACGAGUGGCGGACGGGUGAGUAACACGUGGGUAACCUGCCCUUAAGUGGGGGAUAACAUUUGGAAACAGAUGCUAAUACCGCAUAGAUCCAAGAACCGCAUGGUUCUUGGCUGAAAGAUGGCGUAAGCUAUCGCUUUUGGAUGGACCCGCGGCGUAUUAGCUAGUUGGUGAGGUAAUGGCUCACCAAGGCGAUGAUACGUAGCCGAACUGAGAGGUUGAUCGGCCACAUUGGGACUGAGACACGGCCCAAACUCCUACGGGAGGCAGCAGUAGGGAAUCUUCCACAAUGGACGCAAGUCUGAUGGAGCAACGCCGCGUGAGUGAAGAAGGCUUUCGGGUCGUAAAACUCUGUUGUUGGAGAAGAAUGGUCGGCAGAGUAACUGUUGUCGGCGUGACGGUAUCCAACCAGAAAGCCACGGCUAACUACGUGCCAGCAGCCGCGGUAAUACGUAGGUGGCAAGCGUUAUCCGGAUUUAUUGGGCGUAAAGCGAGCGCAGGCGGUUUUUUAAGUCUGAUGUGAAAGCCCUCGGCUUAACCGAGGAAGCGCAUCGGAAACUGGGAAACUUGAGUGCAGAAGAGGACGGUGGAACUCCAUGUGUAGCGGUGAAAUGCGUAGAUAUAUGGAAGAACACCAGUGGCGAAGGCGGCUGUCUGGUCUGUAACUGACGCUGAGGCUCGAAAGCAUGGGUAGCGAACAGGAUUAGAUACCCUGGUAGUCCAUGCCGUAAACGAUGAAUGCUAGGUGUUGGAGGGUUUCCGCCCUUCAGUGCCGCAGCUAACGCAUUAAGCAUUCCGCCUGGGGAGUACGGCCGCAAGGUUGAAACUCAAAGGAAUUGACGGGGGCCCGCACAAGCGGUGGAGCAUGUGGUUUAAUUCGAAGCAACGCGAAGAACCUUACCAGGUCUUGACAUCUUUUGAUCACCUGAGAGAUCAGGCUUCCCCUUCGGGGGCAAAAUGACAGGUGGUGCAUGGUUGUCGUCAGCUCGUGUCGUGAGAUGUUGGGUUAAGUCCCGCAACGAGCGCAACCCUUAUGACUAGUUGCCAGCAUUUAGUUGGGCACUCUAGUAAGACUGCCGGUGACAAACCGGAGGAAGGUGGGGAUGACGUCAAAUCAUCAUGCCCCUUAUGACCUGGGCUACACACGUGCUACAAUGGAUGGUACAACGAGUUGCGAGACCGCGAGGUCAAGCUAAUCUCUUAAAGCCAUUCUCAGUUCGGACUGUAGGCUGCAACUCGCCUACACGAAGUCGGAAUCGCUAGUAAUCGCGGAUCAGCACGCCGCGGUGAAUACGUUCCCGGGCCUUGUACACACCGCCCGUCACACCAUGAGAGUUUGUAACACCCGAAGCCGGUGGCGUAACCCUUUUAGGGAGCGAGCCGUCUAAGGUGGGACAAAUGAUUAGGGUG